rnacentral:sRNA from 1 species
AUUCUGCCCAAGCGGAGAAGGAUGAGAAGCUUCGACUAAGGUUCGACUCGAGCGCCAGCGAGAGAGCGUUGCCGCAGGCAACGACCUGAAGGGCGAAGCGC